rnacentral:lncRNA from 1 species
GCAAAGCCGAGCUUAGCAAACGCACCCACCUCCUUGGGACGUUAUAUUCUAUUAGAUUCAUUCCUGUGUAGACACUGUCAAGUGUCUGUAUGUAUUGAAAGUGUACUACAUGGCCAGGCAUGGUGGCUCACGCCUGUAAUCCCAGCACUUUGGGAGGCCGAGGCAGGCAAAUCAUGAGGUCAGGAGUUCGAGACCAGCCUGGCCAACAUGGUAAAACCCCAUCUCUACUAAAAAUACAAAAAAUUAGCUGGGCAUAGUGGCAGGUGCUUGUAAUCCCAGCUACCCAGGAGGCUGAGGCAGGAGAAUCGCUUGAACCGGGGAGGCGGAGGUUGCAGUGAGCCAAGAUGCGCCACUGCACUCCAGCCUGGGCGACAGAGUGAGACUCCAUCUC